CCCAGCUGUGGGCAGCUGCCUCGGUGGCGUUGUACGCCAGUGUUACACUGCUGGGAGACAAGCAGCUAAUAACUGGAGGACAUU
rnacentral:snoRNA from 1 species